rnacentral:rRNA from 1 species
AUUGAACGCUGGCGGCAGGCUUAACACAUGCAAGUCGAGCGGAGAUGAGGUGCUUGCACCUUAUCUUAGCGGCGGACGGGUGAGUAAUGCUUAGGAAUCUGCCUAUUAGUGGGGGACAACAUUCCGAAAGGAAUGCUAAUACCGCAUACGUCCUACGGGAGAAAGCAGGGGAUCUUCGGACCUUGCGCUAAUAGAUGAGCCUAAGUCGGAUUAGCUAGUUGGUGGGGUAAAGGCCUACCAAAGCGACGAUCUGUAGCGGGUCUGAGAGGAUGAUCCGCCACACGGGGACAGGAACACGGCCCAGACUCCGACGGGAGGCAGCAGUGGGGAAUAUUGGACAAUGGGGGGAACCCUGAUCCAGCCAUGCCGCGUGUGUGAAGAAGGCCUUAUGGUUGUAAAGCACUUUAAGCGAGGAGGAGGCUACUGAGACUAAUACUCUUGGAUAGUGGACGUUACUCGCAGAAUAAGCACCGGCUAACUCUGUGCCAGCCGCCGCGGUAA